rnacentral:rRNA from 1 species
ACGGGAGGCAGCAGUGGGGAAUAUUGGGCAAUGGGCGCAAGCCUGACCCAGCAACGCCGCGUGAAGGAUGAAGGUCUUCGGAUUGUAAACUUCUUUGAUCAGGGACGAAUAAAUGACGGUACCUGAAGAACAAGUCACGGCUAACUACGUGCCAGCAGCCGCGGUAAUACGUAGGUGACAAGCGUUAUCCGGAUUUACUGGGUGUAAAGGGAGCGUAGACGGAAGGCCAAGUCUGAUGUGAAAACCCAGGGCUCAACCCUGGGACUGCAUUGGAAACUGGUCAUCUAGAGUGCAGGAGGGGUAAGCGGAAUUCCUAGUGUAGCGGUGAAAUGCGUAGAUAUUAGGAGGAACACCAGUGGCGAAGGCGGCUUACUGGACUGUAACUGACGUUGAGGCUCGAAAGCGUGGGGAGCAAACAGGAUUAGAUACCCUGGUA